AGCCCCGUACACAAAAAUGCACAUGCUGUGAGCUCGAUGAGUAGGGCGGGACACGUGGUAUCCUGUCUGAAUAUGGGGGGACCAUCCUCCAAGGCUAAAUACUCCUGACUGACCGAUAGUGAACCAGUACCGUGAGGGAAAGGCGAAAAGAACCCCGGCGAGGGGAGUGAAAAAGAACCUGAAACCGUGUACGUACAAGCAGUGGGAGCACAGAGCAAUCUGUGUGACUGCGUACCUUUUGUAUAAUGGGUCAGCGACUUAUAUUCUGUAGCAAGGUUAACCGAAUAGGGGAGCCGAAGGGAAACCGAGUCUUAACUGGGCGUUAAGUUGCAGGGUAUAGACCCGAAACCCGGUGAUCUAGCCAUGGGCAGGUUGAAGGUUGGGUAACACUAACUGGAGGACCGAACCGACUAAUGUUGAAAAAUUAGCGGAUGACUUGUGGCUGGGGGUGAAAGGCCAAUCAAACCGGGAGAUAGCUGGUUCUCCCCGAAAGCUAUUUAGGUAGCGCCUCGUGAAUUCAUCUCCGGGGGUAGAGCACUGUUUCGGCAAGGGGGUCAUCCCGACUUACCAACCCGAUGCAAACUGCGAAUACCGGAGAAUGUUAUCACGGGAGACACACGGCGGGUGCUAACGUCCGUCGUGAAGAGGGAAACAACCCAGACCGCCAGCUAAGGUCCCAAAGUCAUGGUUAAGUGGGAAACGAUGUGGGAAGGCCCAGACAGCCAGGAUGUUGGCUUAGAAGCAGCCAUCAUUUAAAGAAAGCGUAAUAGCUCACUGGUCGAGUCGGCCUGCGCGGAAGAUGUAACGGGGCUAAACCAUGCACCGAAGCUGCGGCAGCGACGCUUAUGCGUUGUUGGGUAGGGGAGCGUUCUGUAAGCCUGUGAAGGUGUACUGUGAGGUAUGCUGGAGGUAUCAGAAGUGCGAAUGCUGACAUAAGUAACGAUAAAGCGGGUGAAAAGCCCGCUCGCCGGAAGACCAAGGGUUCCUGUCCAACGUUAAUCGGGGCAGGGUGAGUCGACCCCUAAGGCGAGGCCGAAAGGCGUAGUCGAUGGGAAACAGGUUAAUAUUCCUGUACUUGGUGUUACUGCGAAGGGGGGACGGAGAAGGCUAUGUUGGCCGGGCGACGGUUGUCCCGGUUUAAGCGUGUAGGCUGGUUUUCCAGGCAAAUCCGGAAAAUCAAGGCUGAGGCGUGAUGACGAGGCACUACGGUGCUGAAGCAACAAAUGCCCUGCUUCCAGGAAAAGCCUCUAAGCAUCAGGUAACAUCAAAUCGUACCCCAAACCGACACAGGUGGUCAGGUAGAGAAUACCAAGGCGCUUGAGAGAACUCGGGUGAAGGAACUAGGCAAAAUGGUGCCGUAACUUCGGGAGAAGGCACGCUGAUAUGUAGGUGAAGUCCCUCGCGGAUGGAGCUGAAAUCAGUCGAAGAUACCAGCUGGCUGCAACUGUUUAUUAAAAACACAGCACUGUGCAAACACGAAAGUGGACGUAUACGGUGUGACGCCUGCCCGGUGCCGGAAGGUUAAUUGAUGGGGUCAGCGCAAGCGAAGCUCUUGAUCGAAGCCCCGGUAAACGGCGGCCGUAACUAUAACGGUCCUAAGGUAGCGAAAUUCCUUGUCGGGUAAGUUCCGACCUGCACGAAUGGCGUAAUGAUGGCCAGGCUGUCUCCACCCGAGACUCAGUGAAAUUGAACUCGCUGUGAAGAUGCAGUGUACCCGCGGCAAGACGGAAAGACCCCGUGAACCUUUACUAUAGCUUGACACUGAACAUUGAGCCUUGAUG
rnacentral:rRNA from 1 species